GACGGAGGGUGCUAGCGUUGUUCGGAAUGACUGGGCGUAAAGGGCGCGUAGGCGGCUCGUGAAGUCGGGUGUGAAAGCCCGGGGCUCAACCCCGGAACGGCAUCCGAUACUGGCGGGCUUGAGACCGGGAGAGGAGGGUGGAAUACCCAGUGUAGAGGUGAAAUUCGUAGAUAUUGGGUGGAACACCGGUGGCGAAAGCGGCUCUCUGGCCCGGAUCUGACGCUGAGGCGCGAAAGCGUGGGGAGCAAACAGGAUUAGAUACCCUGGUAGUCCACGCCCUAAACGAUGUGCGCUAGAUGUCGGGGGGCUUGCCCCUCGGUGUCGGAGCUAACGUGUUAAGCGCACCGCCUGGGAAGUACGGCCGCAAGGUUAAA
rnacentral:rRNA from 1 species